UAGGUGGCAAGCGUUGUCCGGAAUUACUGGGUGUAAAGGGAGCGUAGGCGGGGAGACAAGUUGAAUGUUUAAACUAUCGGCUUAACUGAUAGUCGCGUUCAAAACUAUCACUCUUGAGUGCAGUAGAGGCAGGCGGAAUUCCUAGUGUAGCGGUGAAAUGCGUAGAUAUUAGGAGGAACACCAGUGGCGAAGGCGGCCUGCUGGGCUGUAACUGACGCUGAGGCUCGAAAGCGUGGGUAGCAA
rnacentral:rRNA from 1 species